GCAGUCGAACGAUGAAGCCCAGCUUGCUGGGUGGAUUAGUGGCGAACGGGUGAGUAACACGUGAGUAACCUGCCCCUCACUCUGGGAUAACUCCGGGAAACCGGUGCUAAUACUGGAUAUGACUACUUCCCGCAUGGGAUGGUGGUGGAAAGUUUUUCGGUGGGGGAUGGACUCGCGGCCUAUCAGCUUGUUGGUGGGGUAAUGGCCUACCAAGGCGACGACGGGUAGCCGGCCUGAGAGGGCGACCGGCCACACUGGGACUGAGACACGGCCCAGACUCCUACGGGAGGCAGCAGUGGGGAAUAUUGCACAAUGGGCGAAAGCCUGAUGCAGCGACGCCGCGUGAGGGAUGACGGCCUUCGGGUUGUAAACCUCUUUCAGCAGGGACGAAGCUUUUGUGACGGUACCUGCAGAAGAAGCACCGGCUAACUACGUGCCAGCAGCCGCGGUAAUACGUAGGGUGCGAGCGUUGUCCGGAAUUAUUGGGCGUAAAGAGCUUGUACGCGGUUUGUCGCGUCUGCUGUGAAAACUCGGGGCUUAACUCCGAGCCUGCAGUGUGUACGGGCAGACUAGAGUAUGGUAGGGGAGACUGGAAUUCCUGGUGUAGCGGUGGAGUGCGCAGAUAUCAGGAAGAACACCGAUGGC
rnacentral:rRNA from 1 species